UAUAGGUAUUUUUUAUUUAUGUGUUUUUUUACGUAGUUUUUACUUGGUUGGUACUAUAAUAUAAAUAUACAUAGUCGAUGUACAACGUCCAUGUAAUCUUAGUCAUGACUCAUGGUCUAAGUUCUUAUCAUCUUUUAUGUAAAGGUAUAAAACAUACACCUAUAACCUACAGGGUGUCUCGCGAAAAUAUACCUAUUGCGAUAUCUUCCAUGAUAGUAUUAACUUUUUUUGGGAGUUCUCAUUUUGACUAUAUACUAAACAAGGAGCUCUAAAACGUUACGUUAUCAUUAUUCUUGUUGCCUUUAUUUUCGAGAGAGAAAUGUCUAGGUACCUACUUU